rnacentral:rRNA from 1 species
UCCCUGCUCCUUGCACACACCGCCCGUCAAACCACUCGAGCAGGGUUUAAGUGAGGAUUAGUUCUUAUGAUUGAUCCGAUCUUAAGCUCAGUGAGAAGGGUUAAGUCGUCACAAGGUAGCCGUAGGGGAACCUGCGGCUGGAUCACCUCCUUUUUAA